rnacentral:rRNA from 1 species
CCCUUAGAUGUUCUGGGCCGCACGCGCGCUACACUGAUGCAUUCAACGAGCCUAUCCUUGACCGACAGGUCCGGGUAAUCUUUGAAUCUGCAUCGUGACGGGGAUAGAUUAUUGCAAUUAUUAAUCUUCAACGAGGAAUGCCUAGUAGGCGCAAGUCAUCAGCUUGUGCUGAUUACGUCCCUGCCCUUUGUACACACCGCCCGUCGCUCCUACCGAUUUUGAGUGGUCCGGUGAACCUUCUGGAUUGUGCGGCUUGCCGCGCGAGAAGUUAUGUAAACCUUAUCACUUAGAGGAAGGAGAAGUCGUAACA